UACGUAGGGUGCAAGCGUUAAUCGGAAUUACUGGGCGUAAAGCGUGCGCAGGCGGUUCGCUAAGACCGAUGUGAAAUCCCCGGGCUUAACCUGGGAACUGCAUUGGUGACUGGCGGGCUAGAGUAUGGCAGAGGGGGGUAGAAUUCCACGUGUAGCAGUGAAAUGCGUAGAGAUGUGGAGGAAUACCGAUGGCGAAGGCAGCCCCCCUGGGCCAAUACGUGACGCUCAUGCACGAAAGCGUGGGAGGAACA
rnacentral:rRNA from 1 species